rnacentral:rRNA from 1 species
GAUGAACGCUGGCGGCGUGCCUAAUACAUGCAAGUCGAGCGAACGGACGAGAAGCUUGCUUCUCUGAUGUUAUCGGCGGACGGGUGAGUAACACGUGGAUAACCUACCUAUAAGACUGGGAUAACUUCGGGAAACCGGAGCUAAUACCGGAUAAUAUUUUGAACCGCAUGGUUCAAAAGUGAAAGAUGGUCUUGCUGUCACUUAUAGAUGGAUCCGCGCUGCAUUAGCUAGUUGGUAAGGUAACGGCUUACCAAGGCAACGAUGCAUAGCCGACCUGAGAGGGUGAUCGGCCACACUGGAACUGAGACACGGUCCAGACUCCUACGGGAGGCAGCAGUAGGGAAUCUUCCGCAAUGGGCGAAAGCCUGACGGAGCAACGCCGCGUGAGUGAUGAAGGUCUUCGGAUCGUAAAACUCUGUUAUUAGGGAAGAACAUAUGUGUAAGUAACUGUGCACAUCUUGACGGUACCUAAUCAGAAAGCCACGGCUAACUACGUG